rnacentral:rRNA from 1 species
UACAGAGGUCCCAAGCGUUAUCCGGAAUCACUGGGCGUAAAGCGUGCGUAGGUGGGAAUUUAAGUGAGAUGUGAAAUCGUGUGGCUCAACCAUAUCGUUGUAUCUCAUACUGGGUUCCUAGAGGACGGCAGAGGCAAGUGGAACUAGCAGUGUAGCAGUGAAAUGCGUAGAUAUUGCUAAGAACACCAAUGGCGAAGGCAGCUUGCUGGGCCACUCCUGACACUGAGGUACGAAAGCGUGGGGAGCGAACAGG